rnacentral:lncRNA from 1 species
CAUCACUCAUUCCAGCCAUGAAUCCUUCACUCUUUCCAUCAAAAAUCCUUUCCAUUCCCUUCAUCACCAUCACCAUCUUCAUCCUUAUUACAACAGUCUUUUCCUCAACUAAAACGAUCUCCUAUUCCGAUCACUGCAAUUCCUUCGUUCCUGAAGCCAUUCCGACCACCAUCACAUACACCCGAUUCCCAUCUCUCAAAACCUUAACCAGUCAUUACACCGGUGCUCAAAACAUUCUCGACCCAGAUUCACUCUCACAAAGAUUCAUCCAAUUUAGACCCAUAAAUAGAAUCUUCAAAACAAACACCUCCAACACAUACAAAACCCAAGCUCAAUUAACUUUCGCUUCAUCAAAUAUAUACCAUUUCCAAUCUAACCAUUCACGAUUUGAUCGUCCAUUGGUGUUUAACUUAGAUGGGUUCUUGUCAGUUUCCACAAAUAAGCUUUGUAUGGUUGGAUCCGCACGUUGGUUUUCCAAAAAAGGUAAACGUUUGAAACUUGAUGCUGUUCUGAAGCUUAAUUUACCUAAGCUUAUGAAUAUAAAUACUAGCUUAGUCGGUGGAAUCUUGGCGAGUUUAGCUUCGCCUCAUGAUUCCGAUUACUUUGAGCCGAUUUCAUUGAUGGGAUUCCCUGAAGUGGGUCUUUUGAAAUACAAAUAUUCGUUGGUUGCCAAUGAAGAUUGUAAUGGGGCAAACGGAAACGAACAUUCAGUCGCUAGGAUGGAAUCUUUAGACUUAUGUUCAAAGUUAGCGUAUCAAUUCAAGAUUUACCGGUUGGAAAAUCAAGGUAUUGGGUACCCUUUUUUGUCGUUGUAUGGGUUUCAGUGUUCAUUGGAAGAAAAAAAGUUGCGCUUUUUAGUAGAAUUUCAAAACACAAGUUAUCCCCGUUGGUACCAAUCUUUCAAUCCAAAUGUAACGUUAAUUGGCGAUGGAACAUGGAAUAGAGCAAAAAACGAGCUUUGCAUAGUAGCUUGUCGUAUCUUGAAUCAGAGUGAUCCUUUGGGAAGUGCUCAUGUUGGAGAUUGUUCGAUCAGGUUGACCUUAUGGUUCCCUGAAGUUCGGUCAAUCAAAAACACACAUACCACCGAAGGUCAAAUUUGGUCAACCAAGAAAACCGAUGAUGUCGGGUACUUUAAACCAAUCAAGUUUCAAAGCUUUGAUCAUAGUUCGGAGAAUUACGGGUCAAAGUAUGAGUUUACAAAAUUGGAGAAAGUAAGACAAAUUUGCCCUCGAGCAGAUGUUGGUAAAAGGGAAGGGGUUGUGUACCCGUCGGGGUAUAGUCGGGAUAUGACUUUUGACAUGUCUGUCAAGUCCAGAAACAUGAAUUCCAUGGGUUAUGCGUUUCCGAUCUUUGUCGGGAAUCAGUUCUACAACUCGUAUGAAGCUUUGGAUUCAAAUUUUAGUCCAUGGCAGGCAGACACCAGUCCGAUGAACAUAAGCUAUGAGAUUAGCUUCCGAAUGUUAGCUAAUUCAACAUCGGAAUCGGAAAGCGGGAUUCCGUCGUUAUCGUUAACUAAAAACGGUAGAGUUGAGAUAUCGGCAGAGGGGUUUUAUGAUAGUGAAACGGGAAGACUUUGUAUGGUUGGUUGUCGAAAUCUACCUUCAUCCGAGAAGAACUCGAAAAAUGAGUCUUUCGAUUGCGAGAUUCUCGUGCAAUUCCAAUUCCCGAGUACCAAUGGGAAUAAUGGAAGUUUUUUAAUCAGGGGAAGCAUAGAAAGCUUACGUGAAAAGACAGAUGUUUUGUAUUUCGACAAUUUAAAUGCCGUUUCUCUCGCUUACACUAAACUCGAAGCCAUGGAAUCGAUAUGGAGAAUGGAUUUGGAAAUCAUAUUGGACUUGAUUUCACGGACACUUUCGUGUCUUUUCAUCGUCCUUCAACUCUUUCAUAUAAAAAAGAAUCCCGAAAUGAUUCCAUUGAUUUCGGUUUUGAUGAUGGUGAUUCUUACACUUGGGUACAUGGUUCCUUUAGUGUUGAAUUUCGAGGCAAUGUUUUCAAACACUCGUUACCCUCAAAACAUUCCACUCGGGGGUAGUGGUGGAUUGCUUGAAGUGAAUGAAGUCAUUGUUAGGAUAGUGACAAUGGUAGCUUUCAUUUUGCAAUUCCGUCUCCUCCAAUUGACAUGGACUAAAAAACUUGGGAAUGGUGAUAAAAACGGAAACGGAAAGAGUCAUUGGAAUCAUGAGAUAUGGACUCUGGUACUCUGUUUUCCGGUUUAUAUAGUUGGUGGAUUGAUGAUGUUUCUAACGAAUUGGAAGAACAAUGAUUAUAUUAUCUCAAGUAAUCGAUCAAUCUUGGGUGAUUUGAGGUCUUAUGCGGGGUUAACACUAGAUGGAUUCUUGUUUCCACAAAUCGUACUUAACAUUUUUCAGAUUUCAAAAGGGAAUGCUUUGUCUUAUUUGUUUUACAUAGGGAACACUUUUGUUCGAUUACUACCUCAUGCGUAUGAUCUUUAUAGGGGUCAAGAGAACAUAAGUCACCAGUUUCAUCGGUUCUAUCUGUAUGCAAAUCCAGGAGCAGAUUUCUACUCACCUUCUUGGGAUGUGUUCAUUGCUUGUGGAGGUUUUGUGUUUGCAGUGAUCGUGUUCUUGCAGCAACGUUUUGGUGGUCGAUUUAUGCUUCCAAAGAGAUUCCGGGAGACUGUGGGGUAUGAAAGGGUUCCUGUGGUAAGCAAUGAGUAAUUGAUCAAUCAAAGUUUCCAGGGUUUGUAAUAGUUUUUCUCUUCAUGACAGAGUAUAAUUUCCACUUCCUGUAAUAGUUUUUCUGCUUACUAAAUACUCAAUAAUAUAUGCAUUAUUAUGUUUCUAGUCAAUUCUAGAUCUCAAUUCGUAGAUCAAACUAUCGAACUGUUUGCAAAAGAAACUAGUCACAAGAACGAUAUGUCGUGUGUUAUUACAAAAAAAUGUAUAAAAGAGAAACGCUACCCAAGUGUAGCGAUUAUGUUGGAAAAUGAUAUAAUAUUUUAUAACAAACUUAACAAUUAUCAUAAAAUAAAUAAACUUAAUGUGUAAAAUGAAUCUCCAUGUCAAAAGGCAUGGGAGUUAUGCUCGUUAUAUAGUCGAGAUAAUUACAUAUAAACCUCUCAAAGAAUAAAGAAUCAACAUACAAAGGUAAUACAAAUAAGUGUAGACUAAUAUCCCCCCUCAAGCGACACAUAGUGGACCAAGGCGCAACAUGCGACAAUACUGCUCAAACUGCUGACGAGGCAUGCUUUUGGUGAAGAUAUCCGCGCUUUUGGUGAAGAUAUCCGCAACCUGAAGCUUGGUUGGAACACUAAAUACCUUCUAUGAGUGAAUCAAAUGACCCCACUCCUCUCCUAUCAACAUCUUCUUGGCCAUGUUGACGGCUCUUCUAAUGCCCCGCCAUCCUCUGUUACGGUUGAUAACAAGACACCGUGAACCCGGAGUUUGCGGAGUAGCAAGCCGCGGACCAAUGCAUCCUCAUUUUGCUUCAAGCAUCUCUUAUCGAAGAGGCAUUUUCCGAUGUGGUGGGUCUCUCCACCGCCCGUGCAGUUUGGACGGCUCUCGAGUCUGCCUACGGAAACUCUUCUAUCAAGCGGGUUCAAAAUCUUCAUGAUCAACUCCAUCUCCUUUCUAAAGGUACCGCUUCUUUUUCGGAUUAUGUUCGCCGUUUUAUGGCUAUUUGUGAUCAACUAGCGGCCAUUGGUCAUGCAGUUGAUGAAUCAGACAAAUUCCAUUGGUUUUUAUGUGGUCUUGGUGACUCUUUUGAAUCCUUUUCUGUGGCGAUUCGUGUGUCCCGUCAUGCUCUGUUACCAUGUGUAAAUGAAUCUCAUGUCAAAAGGCAUGGGGGUUAUGCUCAUUAUAUAGUUGAGAUAAUUACAUAUAAACCCCUAAAAGAAUAAAGAAUCAACAUACAAAGGUAAUACAAAUAAGUGUAGACUAAUACUUAACAAUUAUCUUAUACACGUUAUUAAUAGAAGAGUGUAGAUUCCAUAAACAUUUGGGGUAUUAUGUAAGUUGAGAUAUUUUUUCAAGAUCUAUAUAAGAGUACAAGACCAAGAUGUACGGUCACUACAUCCCCAUAAGAAAAAUGUUGUUCACCAUGUCAUCUCGACUACAUGUACACUACCAUCUAUAAUUACCACUCAACAUUAUUUAUUUAUUUAUUUUUAUUAUUUUAAUAUACAAACACAUGCAUUCAUUGGCUAGCUUUUUGUCUGUUUGGAAAGGAUGAAUUAUGUUGAGCAUAAUCAAACGUAACAAGCUCCACUCCACAUCACACCUACUAACCCUUAAGGCGGUGUUUAUAAGCGACACACAAUCUCCAUAGAAAGGAAGUGUAUCAUUCAGAAUAUGUAUAUAUUAAUCAUAUAGGUUUACCAUAUAUUCCUCCUGUAAUCACUUAAUUUCCUUGUAAACUGUCUAUAAAAGGACCAUAUUUCUCUGUAAUAAACACGAUUUAAUCAUACAUUCUCCUGUAACUUUAUAUGAACUUUAUAUGGUAUCAGAGCUACUCAUGCUCCUCUGAGCCUUCACGAUCCCAAAUUCCAGCAACCAUCACCAAAUCCCUAACCAUGACCACCAUGGUCGAAAUCACCACUCAUACACACUUCCCCAUCAAACUUACUUCAGCUAAUUUCCCUAUUUGGAGAAAACAUGUCCUCUCCACACUCAUCGGAUUUGAUCUUGACAAAUUCGUCAAAGAUUCAAUGGAGAAACCACCAGCAAAAAUCGACAACAAACCAAAUCCUUUGUGUCAACAAUGGUACCGCCAAGAUCAAAUCUUACUUGGUGGUCUCCUUGGUAGUUGUUCUGAAACCAUUCAACCGAUCGUGUCUUCUGCAGAGACAUCCAAUGAAGCCUUCAACAUCUCACUGAGAGUUAUGAAAGUGUCUCUUGAUCUCAUAUCAUUUCUCUUAAAUCAAAACUUGCACAGAACCCUAAAUGUUCUAAAUCCAUGGCGGAAUUCCUUCAUGAGAUGAAAGCUAUUUCGGAUGAACUAGCCCUAGCCCAGUUGCCGGUCACUGAAGAAGACCUAAUUGUGCACAUCCUCACUCAAUUAGGUGAAGAUUACAAGCAUAUCACCGCUGCCAUCAAAGUGUGAGACACACCGCUUACCUUCUCGGAUCUAUUCGCAAAAUUAAUCGACUAUGAACGAUCUCUCCAGGAACAGAUUCCAACACCCACAAUAGCUACAGUGAACUAUACCCACAAGACAUCUACUCGACCCAAUGGACGUGAUUCAUGCAAUAAUUCACGACCCAACACCUUUGGUCCACGAAACCCCAGAUCAUCAAAAAAUGGGCCUCACUUCAACAAUAACCGUAACUACAUGUUUUGUCAAUAUUGCUCUAUUGCAGGCCACGAAAAAAAAGAUUGCAUGAAAUUUGCUAGGUUUCUCAUAGAAAAUAACAUCACUAUUUCCCAUACAUCCCAACCGUCUCCAACCAUAAACCACUCAGCUGCUACUCCGGCUUCAACAACUCCACCUUGGAUGUUUGAAAGUGGUGCAUCCCACCAUAUAGCCUCCGACCGGUCCUCAUUGCACACUCUAUCAGACUAUGGAGGGCCUGAGGAAAUCGCCCUUGGUAAUGGUACUACUAUACCCAUCUCUCACUCCGGUUAAUCCUCAAUUUCAACUCAAUCUCGAUCCUUGCAAUUAAAAAGUGUUCUCUUUGUUCCCCAAUUACAAAAUAAUAUUAUUUCUGUGGCAAAACUCUAUAAAUCUAACAAUGUUUCGGUUGAAUUUUUUUCCCAUCAUUUUUUGGUCAAGGAUCUUCGCACGGGGGCACCAAUCAUGCGGGGAACGAACGUAUAUGAUGUUUACUAUGCUGCCAUCACUUCUCUUCAUUGUUUGUCACAAAUAAAUUCCACUACAACUUCCACCAGAUCGCUUCUCUACUGGCAUCACAACUUUGGUUAUCCAUCUAUUGAAGUUCUCAAGAGUUUACUUAAUACUUUAGGCAUUUCUUACAAUAAAAUAUCCAAUACGUUAUUUCAUUGUGAUGCAUGUUCUCUUAAUAGAAGUCAUAAAUAGCCUUUUGGAGCAAACUCCUUUCAUGUAUCCAAACCUCUAGAACUUAUAUACUCUGAUGUUUGGGGACCAGUUCAAACUUCCAACGAUGGAUACACUUAGUAUGUCAUAUUUGUAGAUUUUCAUUCGAAAUACACCUAAUUGUAUCUCAUGAAACGCAAGUCAGACGUUGCGGUCCUCUUUCCUCAGUUUAAAACACUAGUAGAAAAAUAUUUUUAUACCCCUCUUGUGUAACUCUUCUCACACAAUGGUGGAGAAUAUGUUGGUCUUCACUCAUGCCCUCAACAAAAUGGUUUUUCUCACUUUGCUACUCCUCCACAUACACCAGAACAAAACGGUAUCGCUGAAAGGCGUCAUCGACACAUCGUUGAAACCGGUCUCUCUCUCCAUCACAAUGCAAAAUUGCCUCUCUAAUUUUGGUCUCAUGCUUUUGAAACAUCAAUACACUUAAUAAAUCACCUUCCCACUAACAUUCUCAAUUCUCACUCCCCGUACACCAAACUUUACAACACUGCACCCACCUAUACCAAACUCAAACCAUUUGGCUACCUAUGCUUUCCAUGGUUAUGACCCUAUGCUGCCUCCAAACUCCAUCCACGAUCAGCCAAGUGUCUUUUCCUUGGCUACUCCGAUGCCAAAUCAGCCGACAAGUGCUAUGAUCCAACUACACAACGCCUUUACCAUUCCCGAUAUGUUGGGUUCGUUAAACAUGAAUUUCCCUCCAUAUCAGAACUCGAAGACACCACUAACCUACCAAUAGCAGACUCCUUUACAUCUACCAUCUCGGUUUCCCCACCAGACUCUACUCCUUCAUCUCCACCACCCACUACUUAACAUCCCACCCCCACUAGCUUCCCGUCUCAAACUCUCAUAUAUAACCUUAAUCCCUCACAGUCAUCUUCAUCACAUGCUAAUGUAUCCAACACAAUACCACCACCCUCCCCAACUCCACCCUCACCAGAUCCNNNNNNNNNNNNNNNNNNNNNNNNNNNNNNNNNNNNNNNNNNNNNNNNNNNNNNNNNNNNNNNNNNNNNNNNNNNNNNNNNNNNNNNNNNNNNNNNNNNNNNNNNNNNNNNNNNNNNNNNNNNNNNNNNNNNNNNNNNNNNNNNNNNNNNNNNNNNNNNNNNNNNNNNNNNNNNNNNNNNNNNNNNNNNNNNNNNNNNNNNNNNNNNNNNNNNNNNNNNNNNNNNNNNNNNNNNNNNNNNNNNNNCCACCAGAAACAAAAUUCAAAAUAUUUCAAUCCAAACCUCAUUAACACCACCACCCUUCACCCUCUACCAUUAACACUUGAACCAACUAAUCCAACUCGGGCUCUUAAAGACCCAAAAUGGCGAAAUGCCAUGGACACAAAAUUCAACGCACUAAUUCAAAAUCAAACUUGGGAACUUAUCACGCCACACUCCCACACUCCUAUUGGAUGUAAAUGGAUAUUUUGUAUCAAAAGAAAUCUCAAUGGCUCUAUUUCAAAAUACAAAGCAUGUCUUGUAGCUAAAGGCUUCCUUCAAAAAUAUGGAAAAUAUUACUUUGACACCUUUAGUCCUGUCAUCAAACCAGUCACAAUUCAAACUAUUCUUUCUAUUGUUCUAUCCAACAACUGGCAGUUACGAAAACUAGAUGUCAACAAUGCCUUUCUUCAUGGGACACUUCAUGAGGACGUCUUCAUGACUCAACCACCUGGAUACAUCGACCCCAAAUUUCCUAAUCACAUCUGUAAAAUAAAAAAAUCUCUCUAUGGCCUAAAGCAAGCACCUCGUGCUUGGUACAUAGAACUCACAACCUCCCUACUUCAAUUUGUAUUCUACAAGUCUCUCGCCGAUGAAUCUCUCUUCACAUAUCAACAUAACACUAUCACAUGCUACUUCCUAGUUUAUGUUGACGACAUCGUUCUCACCGGAAAUAAUACAACAUUUCUAAAUCACUUUAAUCAAGCCUUGAGCAACAAGUUUAGUGUCAAAGAUCUAGGCAUAAUUCAUCAUUAUCUUGGUAUUGAAGUCAUUCCUACCCCUACUAGUCUAUUUCUCUCCUAACACCGUCGCAUCCAGGACAUUCUCCAGCAAUUCAACAUGGAUGGUGCUAAGGAUGUACUCACACCUCUUAGCACCAUAGAACUAUUGUAUCUAAAUGAUCCCUCUCCAUCUAUAAAUGCCACUCCUUACCGGAAACUUGUCGGCUCCAUUCAAUAUCUUGCCUUCACCAGACCAGAUAUAUCAUUUGUUGUCAACAAACUCUCUCAGUCUCUGCAUGCUCCGAGAUAGACUCACUUCCAAGCCUUAAAGCAUGUUCAACGGUACCUAAAAGGCACUAUUAAUCAUGGUCUCUUUCUCAAACGAAACUCUCCACUCACCAUCUCGGCCUUCUCUGAUUCUAAUUGGGGUAGGGUCAACGAUGCCGGUCGGUCAACUACAGCUUAUGUUCUCUAUUUGGGUACCAACAUUGUCUCAUGGAAAUCCACUCGUCAAAAAUCAAUCUACCGCUCCUCCACUGAAGCAUAAUACAAAGCCUUAGCUAAUGCGUGUGCUGAGCUCAUGUGGAUGAAGAAUCUCCUUAAAUAAGCUCACCAAGCCUUUGGCAAAGAGUCCAUUUCUCAACAACAGGUCCAAAAUCGGAGUCUCCGAUGGAUCCUCCAUCUUGCGGAGGCGUAUAAGCGACACACAAUCUCCAUAGAAAGGAAGUGUAUCAUUUAGAAUAUGUAUAUAUCAAUCAAUUAGGUUUACCAUAUAUUCCUCCUAUAGUCACUCAAUUUCCUUGUUGUAAAUUGUCUAUAAAAUGACCAACCUUCUCUGUAAUAAACACGAUUUAAUCAUGCAUGCUCCUGUAACUUUAUAGUGUUCACACAGUGGACAUGUAUGCCGCAUCCACAUUUCACGCGUGGGAAUCCUCCCAUAGCCCCAAAGCCUAAAGAGAGACUUGUGGAGAGACACGUACACAGAGAACCAUUCAUCACUUCUCUCGUCUAGUCUAUCUUCGUACACAUAGAACCAGUCAUCUCUUUUUCUUGUAUGGUUCAUCUUCUCAAUCUAGGGUCUAUAUAUUUUUGUUGUAUAUUCAAGUUUAUAGCUUGAGAAAAUAUUUGAGAGUAUUCGUAUAUUUGAGAGUAUUAGUAUAUCUUUCCCAAUAAUAAGGUUACAUAAUCUUGUUGAUGUAUCAAACAAGUUCUUAAUAAAAUAUUUGUUUAAGUUGGGAAUUACUGUGUUCAUAUUUUCUUUGAUGGUAUCAGAGCAAAAGGUUGCUCCAACGGUGGUGUUUCAACUUACGUUGUUCCCAAGGUUAGGUUAUUUUAUCGUUCUUUCUUCUUUUCUUAUUUCUUUUGUGAAUCUUUUAGAUCUAACACAAAGAGUGUCAAUCUAUGGUUAUGAUUGUGGAUCCUUGGAAUAUUUGACGCUUAUCGAUGUUGAUUUAAGGUUCCACCUUCGAUUUUUUAAAUCGUUUUGGAUUCCUCUUAUCUGCUUUCAAGUUCUCUGUUACCGUGAGCUUCUAUCUUGUUAUUGCAGGUUUACCACUCGUCUUUGGAUUGGAACUCUCGAACCAAAAGGAACUCUACGAUUUUUUAUCUUGUAUAUUGGUAAAACCCUCAUGUCUGCUAGUCUCCGAUUAAAUCUAAUAGAGAACAAAAUACAGAGCCUAAUAGUGUCAUUUGUUACCUUGGUUUUGCGGCUAAAAGCCCGAACCAAGUUGGUACUUCAAAAGUGGCUAAUUGACUUUUUUUAGCCCUUCUUGUUCUCUUCUUUUUUUUUCUAGAUUGUAGAUGUGGGAGAAUUUGGUUGUCUUGAGUAUGCCAGUUAUUUGUUUGUUGAUUGACUUCUUUUUUUUCCUUACAUGCUACAUGUGUAUCAUAUGAUAUAUUUUUUUCUAUUACUACUUCUAUUUGUCUUGGAAGUCGUGUUUGGAAAAUCUUCAUUACUACCUGUUAGUUUGUGUUUAUAUUUUAAAAAUGGUUAUUCCUCCUGGAGUGGCGGUAGUUCUAACAAGUUUGAAGUAAUUGAUUUCAAUGAUCCUCUUUACGUUUACAAAUCCAAUAAUACUAUUACCACCUUGGUUUCAUUCAAACUCACUGGUACAUAAAACUAUCAGAUGUGGAUAAGUGUUAUGCUUAGAUGCUUAAAACUUCCUAAUAAAGUAGGAUUUAUUGGUGGCACUCUUGUCAAACAAAAUGAUGAUGCUAGAAAAUCUUUAAAAAGGGAAUGUGUUAUUGGGAUAUGAAGUCUUGUCCAACAUGGAGCACUUAAGUUACAAUGGAGCAUGUGACAAAGGAAUGUAUCAUUUUAGAAGGGAAUGAAUCGUCUAACAAAGGAACGGAUCAUAUAAAGGGGGCUUUGGAGCACCUGGAAGAGGUUUGGAGCACUUGGAAGUGAUAUGUAGCAAUAGGGGGACCUUGUUGUGUUAUAUAAUAUGUAACAUCCAUAAAUUUUUCAUAAAAUUUAAACUUUUCAAAAGAACCAUUUUUCUCUAGAAGUGUUUACAAAACCCAUUAAUUCCAAAACAUUAUUUUAAAAUCAGAACCUUUCUCAACAUAGUUUCCAAAACGUUCACAUUAUCAGAGUUUCUAGAAAUCAUAAGUCCAAUAUCCUCAAGCCCUCAGUGGCCCUUCGCGACCCUCAACUCAUAUCUGGAUUGCUCCAAUGUACUCAAGCCCUCAGUAUGAGUCUAGUAUACCUACCGGGUCCUCAGUUAGUAUCUGGAAUGCUAUUAAGCCCUCAUUAUGAGUCUGGAAUGCCCUACCUACCGCUCAGCUCAUAUCUGGAAUGCUUUUGAGCCUUCAAUAUGAGUCUGGCAUGCCCUGCCUGACCCUCAAUUCAUAUUUUGAAUGCUCUAGGGUUUGUCGGCUAUAGCACGAAGCAGUACAACCUCAAUCCAACAUACUAUGCCGACAGAUAAUAACAUAUACAAAUAAUUGUGCAGACAGGAUUACAGGUAGUCCCACCAAUCAACUAGACUAGCAUGCAAUAGUAUAUCAUACUCAACAUAUCAGGAAUUUCAGGUUAUCCAACCAAUGGGCCGCCCUUGGUGCCUUCAACACGAAAGUAUAGUGAGAAGGACUCACCUCGAACUGCCGAUUACACAAACGAUCCCUAGAUACUGGCUGCUAGAUCCUGAACCGCCACAUUAAGACAACACCCCAUCAAUAGUUGAUUCCAUGAAUAACCUCUAACUGCAUAUCCGCUAUCACACACUCGCUAAAUAGAUACCAAAAGGACAAUCCAUCAACAUCUAGUCGCUGACUCAUACUACGAGUCCAAUUCAGGGUAAAAGACCUUUUUACCCUUCCUCAAGCUUAGCCGAAAGCUAAGGACCAAACUAGACGACAAAAGGCCCAAUAUCAAAAUAAACUCCUUAAGUCCAAUUAGCCUUCACUCAAGAAGAUCUAUCAAGCCAAAAGCCCAAAGCAAAAAAUCCCAGACGGCCCAACACAACCCAAAGAAAACCAAACCUGAAUCUUGAUCCAAAAAGGCACAAAUUACCUCAAGGCACACACUUGGCCUAAUUUUCCAAAUUGGUCCCAACUACUUAUUGGGCCUUAUCCAAUGUUCGAUCCUCUAAUUAUCCCAAAACACAAUUAUCCAUAUAGUUCAUUAGGGCCCAAGUAUCAAAGCCCAACAGAUGGCCCAAUACCCGAAGCCUAAAGCAAAGGAGGCUAAAAACAGUUGCGUACGCAGAGCGUACGCCGGAGGUACGUUCAGCGUACACGAGACCUCACAUUGACCAUGUUACGGGAAGGCUGACCAAGUACAUGGGGCGUACUACUCCUUAUGCGGGGCGUAGCCUCGCAGAUCCAAAAGUCCAAUAUGUGCUUAAUGGCUUACGCACUUAAGCCCAAAUUUUAGAUCCAUGGCUCAAAAACACUAAAGAACCAUAAAGUCUCAAGCUUUAAGACUUUGGUCGUCCAAAAAGGGCUUAAUGGUUGGUCUUAACCCAUUAAGACCCCCUAUCAGCAACAUGUAGCCAAACCAACCAAAGGGACCUCAUUUUUAUAACUUAGAACCCUUCCUAGGGUUUGAGAGGACAUCUCAAAAUGUCCAAAACAAAGCCUGCAUAACAAUGGGACUUUUGGGACAAGAAGAACACCAAAAAUCUACCAAAUCAAGAUCUAAACAAUCUAAUCAUAAAGGUAAAAGGUUUAUACCUCCUAAAGUUUCCCAAGAAGAUGAUAAUCCUAGAUCUACAAGCUUGCUUCCUUCCUUGAAUCCUUUGAUGCACUAACUUCUCCUUCAACCAUACAAGAAACACACUCUGAACUCAUACAUACACACACACCCUAGAGGAGUUAGGGUUUGCCAAAAAGAAUAUAAGAACUUGGAGGCUGAAAAGAUAGGGGAAAAGGGCCAUAAUGAUGCUUAAAUACUCCACAAAUCCUAAAAGUUAUGGUUUCAACCAGACACUAGUGCGCCCUACAUACGCCUAGCGUAUUAUGCGCGCCCUAGUACGCUUAGCGUACUCACAUGUACGCCCAACAUACAACUCCUGGUCCAUAAAUUACCAUUUUGCCCCUAGGGCUUCCUGUGGCCACUCCUUUCCAAAUUAAGGACUAAAAAAUGACGUAAUUACAACCUAAAGGAUGAAUUUGAAAUUACUUGAAGAUUGGGGUGUUACAACUCUACCCCACUUAAAUUCGAUUUCGUCCUCAAAAUCAUUCCUUACCAUCCCCGGUAUACCCGACAUCUUGAGGGGCACAACCACAACCAUGAACAUAUCACAACCUCUCAAAGGUGACUAAACCCAAAUGAAAUCCUUUUAACUCGAAGAAGACGAAUCGAUAAUCCCAUGCAUAAAAUUAAUCCCGCCCUAUGUGAACCCAACCCUUCCUUACAUGAAACCUCAAGACUUGAAAUAGUUCUGACUCCCUGACAAACCACCUUUAUUGAUCCAGAGUCAAAACCAUGACGCUUAUCCAUUAAACUAUUUAUUCAACUCGUGAUGAUAAUAACCCCAUGAGUACAAUGAGAUAUGGGACAUGAAUUUCCUUAACUGUCGGAAUGAUAUGCGGUUGCUAAAAUUCUGAAACUUUAUGACCUGCCUGACCUUCACUGAUAGAAUCAUCCCAGAGCACAAACACAUGAACUAACUCCUGACCCACCAGUUGAUGCCUUUAGCAUACCGAUUCCUUAAAUCACAUCUCCCUGGUUUACAAUCAUUACAUGGAUGCACACACGAUUCUCAAAGCAAGUUCCCACCAUAAGCCAUCUCGAAAUGGCCAUCCAUGAAUCCACCCCAAGUCUCUAACUGAAGAUACCACAAAACAUGCAGAAAAGAUCCUCAAAACAAGUCGAUAGUGAACCUCCCCCAAUCUGAAUCCAUACGAUGCACCAAAACCUUAGAAUAACCUUUGACUUUCUGCCAUGCCAUUACAAACCUCUGAACCGACGAGAGAAGAUGAUGAAACCAAGAAUUUCCGCAUUUCAUCCAAUCCCUAACAACAACUUGUGAACAAACAUAAAUACAAAGUAGACAUUCUACAAAUUCAUUAUGAUACCUGAAUGGUACUCCCAACAACCCUUGACCGCUCCCUGUCCAAACCAACUGAUUUAUGGGUCUUCCGAUCCCUAUGAACGCGUCAAUACUGAGAGUAUCACAAAUGGAUGAAAUGAAUAAUCAAGACCAUUAGGCCCAAAACCCAUGACUGGAAUACCCCUACCAGGUCUUCAACAUGGGUCUGGAUUGCCUUCGAGCCCACAACAUGAGGCUGGAAUGCUCUCCCCGACCCUCAGCCCAUGCAUGGAAUGCUCCUGAUCUCACAUCGACCUUGUUGGUAUUACAACAUUCAACAAACACUUCGGGCCAAAAUAUACUCACAUCAUUCCAUUUCCUUGAAGGGACCUAAACAAUGUCCAUCAUAAUCACCAAUCGAGUACAACAAUGUUGCAAACCUACCACACCCGAUUCCCUCCACAGAGCAAGCUGCUAGCCAAGCAAAAUUUUAUGAAACCAUGGUCACACACGACCCGAGAAUAGGAUAAUGGUUGAACUCUCGACGCAAUUCGAAGGCUAUAACCCAACAGGACCGUGCACAUUCUUAGGAAAUGUAAACCUCAUCCAAAAGGAAAGAAUUUCCCGAGGAAAAUCGACACACCACAUCCAUCAAUAACAAAAGACAUCCUUAUCAACGAUCGAAACAAGAUCCCAUAUUUGAUUGAGACUGAAUAGGUCUUACCAACACAAAACUAGCUCGAUAAGACUUCCAAUGCGAUCUCCAAGGUUGCCAAACCUGAGUCUGUUAAGAAUCAGAAAUUCCACUCCACCACUGAGGGAAAACUUACCCAAGGACCAAGGGAAACAUAAACACACUGCACUGGAGGGUGGUUGACGCAUUCCUUGAAUUUUAACUAUCACCACUUAACUCCUUUGGAGAAUUCCCGCUAAAUGAUGAGCUCAAAAACUAAUGGUCUAGGACAUCUUGACACCUAAACGAAAGAACCACAAACCCACUUGGAGCUGGACAUACCCACUUAUGGAAAUGGACCAUCGAUCAACAUCCGCCCAAAAUUUUGAAAACAACAAUCUAGCACGCGAACUGGCAAUUCCCCUCUAUGGCUGACACUCGACCAGAGAAUCCUAGUUCUCCCCUACUUAGAACUCGAACCGCUAACGACUGGUAUUGAAGACAAAGCAUAAUUCAAUCGGCCCAACCAAGUACAACCAUUCCUGACGAUGGAAUGAAUAACAUACGCAUAAUGAUACUCCCUAUACGGAUCAAUCGAAUCCCAAGAUAAACAUGAAUUUCAGAUGAAGACCUUUGAAAUUCCCACUUAUAACCGCUUACAAGCAUAGGCAGCUACCAAUCUAUGACCCAAACAUACCUUCCUUGCUUUCAAUACCAAUGACGAUCCGACACUUAGCCUUCCCAUAUCCCAAGAAUAUGGACCCUUUCUCGCAUCGCUAAGGUACUCAUGGCACAUCAAUCCAUUUGUGCACACUGGCGCUGACAUAUUGUCGCUAACCAUUGCGACCAACAGACUCCAAGCUAAGAAUCCAACCUAACUAGAGAGGUCACAAGCCUGCCCACUCCUUCUGACUCAGAAGAAUUGAAGGGAAAGAUGCUUGCCACAUAUAACGACAUUCUAAUCCAACAAUCUUCCACUUAAAUCCCAUAUGCGAUUUCCAAGACGAUCAUAUCAACCACUUCCUCCCCGUGUCGCGAGGCUCGAGGCCUGACGCCUAACAAAACCCUCGAUACUUCCAACCAACAUACUCAUCUGGGUCUGAACCACUCAACCCACAUCAAUAUCGCCAUAGGGGCCUGAACAAACACAAAACCCAUCCUCGUAUGAGCAGCCCAAGCCAAACGAUCGACAUAUACAAAACCACUGCCUCGAACCAUGGUAUCCAACCAUGCUAUCUUCCCUUACCAGUCCUUAGAGUCCCCGGAAUCCUCCUUGAAUCAAGUAUGGAUCCUAUGCUUUCAGUAGUACGGGCCCAAUACUACCUUCCACACCUAUCCAUACUUUCCUCAAGAAUUAUCUCGGGUCCUCUAAAACCUAGUCAUAAAAUACUCCUGAAACUUGUUCAACAACGAACAACUGCACUAAAAGAUACUCCCUAGGCUAUCCUUGGGUUCCACACUUUUGUGCCACCAGCUGUUGAAGGAAUCCUCACAAUUUCAAUUAGCUAUUCCAUGAAUAUAAUCACAUGCAACAAAGCUCAAAUAAUCCUUCGAUGUAACAAACUUAUCCCUAUAAUGGUUGGACUCAAACGAGAGCAACACAGUAGGGUCAAAUCUGCCACUCUAUGAUUAUCCAACCUUUUCACAUGUGACUUGACAUAUUCACCUAAUAGCUAACUCAACUCACUCAUGAGUUCCACAAAGCACAAAGCAAGCAACAUUUUUCUAGAGGAGCCGAUUGGAACUAUAUGCAAUAAGAUCAGACAUAUUCUCCUAUGAAAUACUCAAUCUCAGAUACCCAACAUCUCGUGCGCAUCUUUGCCCAGCCCUCACUCUCUCAAGAGUUGCUAAUCCUUCCUCAUGAUGACCCACAAUGAACUGAGCCCAAACCAAGGAAAGCACCGCUACCUCAUCCAAUAAUGCGACUAGUCGGCUGACCUCAUACAACUCAUCCAUGAAACUUCCACUAACCCUACAACACUCGUGUUUUCUAGCCAUACAUAACACUGGACCCUAUAGACAAUCAAAUAUCUGAUCCUACCCUAAGCCCUUCAUCAAAAAAGAACAGGAAACAAGGCCAAACCAAACAUUCUCAGGCUACAAGAUCUUAGUUAUAUAUAACCAUGAUGCAUACACUAAGCAACUAUAGUAAUGAUGUCAAUUUCAUAUAAAGGAGAAUCCUAGGCUAUCAUGCAUCAUAUAAUCAGGAAAUUCUAUCAUGCAAUUCCUAAUCUUUAGUCUAUCACAAGCACGCUAUUGUAACAUAUCAUAACAUAAUCUCAAAUGAUCGUGUGCUAAUUUGGGGUCAACUUUUCGGCUCUGGCUGAUCGUACACAUCGCAUCCCCUUUGAUUAUUUUGAAAACCAUUUGAAAAUUUAUUUUGAAAACCCUUUUCCUUACUUUGAGACUGGAUUCGCACGAGUGUUCCUCCAAUUCACUCAAACCAAGGCUCCGAUACCAACUUGUAACAUCCAUAAAAUUUUCAUAAAAUUUAAACUUUUCAAAGCAACCCUUUUUCUAUAGAAGUGUUUACAAAAAACCAUUAAUUCGAAAACAUUAUUUUAGAAUCAGAACCUUUCUCAACACAGUUUUCAAAAUGUUCAUUUUGUCAUAGUUUCCCAGAAAUCAUAAGUCCAAAACGCAAGGAUGUAUACGGUCACGCCUUCACCUUGCCAUGUUCCACUAUAGUACCUGAAACCAUAAACCAAAAUUGUAAGCACGAAGCUUAGUGAGUUCUCCCAAAGUACCAACACACAAUCAAUAACACAUAUACAAAAGUAACAGCAUGCAAUGGGUCAACAACUAACAGAUUGGAUUACGCCUAAACCCACCUCAUCAGUAUGGCUUGCCCCCUGGGCCAACAACUUAUGUCUGGCUUGCUCCCUGACCCUCAUUAUGAGUCUGGGAUGCCUUACCCGGCCCUUAGCACAUAACUGGAAUGCCCAUGAGUCCUCAGUAUCAGUCUGGCAUGCCCUUCCAGGCCCUUAGCUCAUAUCUGGAUUGCUAUAAUACCCUCAAGCCCUCAGUAUGAGUCUGGCGUACCAAUAGCAUCCUCAGCUCGUAUCUGGAAUGCUAUUGAGCCCUCAGUAUUAGUCUGGCAUGCCCUACCUGGCCCUCAACUCAUAUCUGGAAUGCUCUAGGCUUUGUUAGCUACAACACAAAGCAAUACAACCUCAACCCAACAUAAUAUGCCGACAAAUAACAACAUAUACAAAUAAUCAUGCAAAGAGGAUUACAGGUAGUCCCACCGAUCUAACAGACUAGCAUACAAUACUAUAUCAUACUCAGCAUAUCAGUAAUAUCAAGUUAUCUAACCAAUGGGCCGACCUUGGUGCCUUCGACCAGAAAGUAUAGUGAGGAAGACUCACCUAAUACCGACGAUCACACAGACGAUCUCUAGUUUCCGUACUUGUAGAAGUUGUCCUUUUUAUGGACCCUCUGAUUGCAAUGAAAGCAAAUUAGGUCUGACGUCUGAAUGGUAGGGUAGGGGCUGUACAAUCCUUGCUAAAGUGCCCGGUCUUGCCGCACUUGUAGCAGCCUGAGCCCCCAGCUCUGCAAACUCCCUCAUGUGGCCUAACGCAUUUCCCACAGCAUCUCCGGCCCUGUUGUCCCCUCGACCUAGAAUCAGAUCCCUUGGGCUUCUUCCCCGAAACCCCACUAACCUGCCCAGCCUCCGCCUUCCUCUUCUGGAGGUGAUUAAUGUCAAUAUCCCUCUCCCUUUCCCUGGCUAUCAUGUCCUCCACGGUCGGGCAUGCCGACUAGCUAGCAUGUUUCUGGAUGUCAACCCUCAACGUGUCUUGAUAUCGAGUCUUCCUCAUCUCCUCGUCCCCUGCAUACUGAGGCAUCUGUAAGGCCCUCUCCCUGAACUUAGCGGUAAUCUCCGCCACCGACUCAAUCUCCUGCCUCAUAUCCUGAAACUCCCGGGCCAGCUGCUAAAUCUCCACAGCUAGUGCAAACUCAGCCCUAAACCUAGUCACAAAGUUUGACCAGGUCAUAGCCUCAAUGGCUGGGGCUCCAACAAAUCUCUGACCGCUUCCCACAUAUCUCUAGCUUUGUCCCUCAGACAUCCUACAUCAUACCGGACCUUCGACCCCUCAGGGAAGAAGCUACUCAACUAAGCAAACUCCAUGUCUGCAGUCUACCUCCUGGCUAUAAUCGGGUCCUUCACCCCGUGGAAGUCCAGCGCACCACAUCCCCUAAAAUCCUUGAAGGAGAGUGUGUGUGUCCCGGACUGGCCAGAUGCCAUGUCGCUCCUAAACUCCCUGAGGUGCUCCUCCAUCAACUCGAUGAUCCCUUCCUUGAUCGACCCUAAAAUCACCGAGGUCGCCUCAAGGAUACCUCUCGUAAUCUCAGACGCGAUGAACUCGUGUAGUCUGUCAUCAACCGACUCGAAACCUACACCUGAACCUGAACCUGAUCCUGACCCAGACCCUGAACCUCCUGCUCCGUGACAUGUCACUACCAUUUUGAAACAAAAAAAACAUAAUUUUUAGGGUCAUACAUAACCUCGAGAGGUCUCACACAUUCUACAAGUUCCCAAGUUCUAUCUCGGCCCUCCUUAACUCGAGUAUGAAUCCUCUGCUUUCAGUAAUACGGGCCCAUACUACCUUCCACAUUUAUUCGUACUUUCCUUAAGGAUUGCCUUAACUUCACCAAGUCCCUUCUACUACUACUGCUCGCUGCACUAAUCUUAUCCUAGGCUUACCCUAGGGUAACUCUCCGACCUACUCUCCGCCAUUAGUUACAUAAGAAAUCCCUGAUACCUUUACCUAACUAGCUCACGAAUACCAUUACAUAUCACUAUGACCAGACAAUUCUUCGAAUGAGAGGUCCUACCCUACAACGGUUGGACUCAAACAAGAGCUGCAAAACAGGGCUAGACCUAACCUUCUGAAAUUAUUUAUUCGUCGCAAUAGGUAACUUAACGUAUUCAUUUGCUAGUUAGUCAAUGAUAACUAGAACUCCAAAAAGCACAAAGCAAGCUGCAUUCGAGCGUUGAGUAACAGAACCAAGCAUAUUCUAUACAGGCCAUCUUAUCAUUGACUAAACAGUUCUAGCAUGAAAUUCAGUACGCACAUAUAGCAGGCGCAUAAGGCAUCUUCCUAGAUCCUUAGCCUUAAUCUAGCAUGUAUUUCUAAUACACAUAAAAUAGGCAUAUAAGGCAUCCUUCCUAGAUGUUCGACCCUAAUCUAGCAUGCGGUUCUCAUAAUCAUAUCAUAUCAUAACAUAACAUGUAUGGGUAUCUUGGGGAAAACUUACUUGGGCUCAGCCGAUUGCAAGAAUCACACACCUUGUUCUUUCUCAAAGCUCUUUAUUUUAAAUUUUUAGAAAAACUAUUUUCUUUGUAAAAAUCUUUCAAACCCUCAAUUUGAGUCCAGACACCCCCGAAGGUGUGUCCGAAUCCCUCAAACCAAGGUUCUGAUACCAACUUGUAACAUCCCAAAAAUACGGACCAAAAAUUCCAUUUUUAAUAUAGGAAUUUAUAAAAAAAAUUUACAGAAAACAUCAUCAAGUUAUUUCAUUUCAUAAAAAGCCAUAGAUCAUAAGUCUCAAAAUCAUGUCAUCACACACACACGAUUUCCACAUAUGAGAUUCUUAGGAUUUGUACUCAGACAUUGUUACUAUGUGAUGACAUGAUUUUGAAACUUAUGAUAUAUGGAUUUUUAUGAAAUGAAAUAAAUUGAUGAUGUUUUCUAUAAAGUGUUUUAUAAAUUGCUAUAUCAAAAAUGAAACUUUUGGUCUGUAUUUUUGGGAUGUUACAUUUUGAUUAUUAAGAGUCGGGUAGAGUUGGUUGUCGGAGUAGAGAUUCAUUUAAGAUGUAUUCGGACUGAGAGUUGAGUUUUCCUUACUGUACUUAUGGGUUGAAGUCACCAAGGUUGGCUCAUUGGAUUUGAUAUCUUGAUGUGUUGUAUGUUGUUAUGCGGAGAUAUGUAUUACUGGUUGUUAUAUGAUUAGACCGGUAGAUCUAUAGGAUUACCUGUGUUUGUUGUUUAUUGAUUGAUAAUGGGCAUAUCAAUAUGUUAUGGUUUACUAUGUUGAGGCGGACCAACUGAUAUUAAAGGCCAAGAUACCCAUGGCGGUUCGGAUAGACUAAGGACCUGGAAGACAGUCCACUCAGGUCGAAGGCCCAGAGAGUGGUCCAGAUAGGUUUAAGGCCCGAAGAAGCGGUCCAGUAAUGUUGAAGGCUCUGUAUGCAUGUUGUUGUUUGUUAUGUAAUGUGUUGUUACUUUGGGGGAACUCACUAAGCGUUGGCUUACAAUUUAGUUUUGUUUCAGGUACUUCCAAGGAUCGUGGCAAGGCAAAGGCGUGAUCAUGCACAUCCUUCGGUUUUAUGUUAUAUGGAUUUUUAGGAAAGUCCAAUUACUGAAAACACUUUUGAAACAAUAGUUUUGCAAAAUUUUAUGGAUUGAAUUGUUGUUUUUGAGAAGUUAAAAUUUGUUGUGAUUUUUGAGAUGUUACAUAUAGGCUUAUACCACCAUCAUUGUAAAUUGCUACAUUUAUGUGAGAGAUCAAAGUGAGAUAUAAUUUUAGGUGCUUGUAAUACUUCCAGAAAGUUAAUAAAAUCGCCUCUCUCUCUCUCUCUCUCUUUCUCUCUCUCUCUCUCUCUAUAUAUAUAUAUAUAUAUAUAUAUAUAUAUAUAUAUAUAUAUAUAUAUAUNNNNNNNNNNNNNNNAUAUCAUUCACCCAUGGACAUUGGUUAUCUUGACCGAACCACGUUAAACAUUGUGUUCUUUUGAUUUACGUUUUUUUAGAAUUUUUCAUGAGUUCAUCGAAGUUUGUUUUUUCAUAUUUGUCUAAAGUGCUUAACUUGGUUUGUUGUUACUCAACAUGUGAUAAUGUUGUUAUUUGUUCUGGGUUCAUGGGGUCUUGUUCUUGGAUCAUGGGGUCUAUAUUUGAGUCAAUAUGUGCUAAUCAUGCUUAUUCUGAAAAUAUUGAAGGAUUCUGGAAAGAAUUAUUUGAAACAUAUAAUAAAUCUGAUGGUUAUGUGGCUUUUAAUGUUCAUCAAAAGAUUAGUUCAGUUACACAAAGUGGAUCUUCCUUCUCUGAUUACUUUAAUAAAUUAGAUUCCCUUUGGAAAGAGUUUUAUGGCCUCAAAAGUCUCAUUGAGUAUACCUAUGAAGCUUUUGCUUGUCUUAAUGAUCAUGCUAAACUCAUGAAAUUAAUGCAAUUACUAUGUGUUUGGAACACUCUUUUAAUCAAGUUAAAAGUCAUAUACGAUUAAUGGAUCCUCUUCCAAAUGUUAAAAAUGCUUUUGUAAAGAACCACAAUAAAAGGGUGAUUCUUUAACUAACUCUUCUAUUGUUAAUAAAACUAUUGCUCCCGCUUUUAGUACUCGUUUUAACAAUAAAGCAAGUAAUAAGAAAGGAAGAAAUCACAUUCAAUGUAAAGAUUGUGGUAUAAAGGGUCAGUCUAUUGACAAAUGUUAUAAGAAUGUUGGUUUUAGAAAAGACUUUAAAUUUAAAGCUGAAUAUAAUCCUAAUAACCAAGGUAGAAAUUACUCCACUACUUCUUCAUGUCCUACCCAAUCUACUUGUUCAUCUUUUGAACCUCUAAGAAAACUCUGCUAGGUCUGAAAUUUGACAUCUAACAAUAAAACAAUCAACAAGUUUCUUCAUCUCAAUAAUGAAAAGCCCCUAACUAAUGAAGCACUUAUCAAUGCAAAUAUGACAAGUACUUUACUAUUAACUUCUUAUAAUUCUACCAUUAACUACCAAAAAAGGGUCAUUGAGUACGGAGUUAAUCAACAUAUGACAGGUUCUAAUUUCCUUCUUCAUGAUGACACUAUGGACGUGUCUAAAUAUUUCUUGUUAAAGAUCCAAAUAGUUCUUCUGCCAAAAUUAAAACUAUUAGAAUUUGAACUGUUUAACUCUUUAACCCUAUUUGAUGUUUUUGUUGUCCUAGAUUUUAAUAUAAAUCUUCUUUCAAUUCAUAAACUUUACAAAGAAAACAAAUGUGAGGUUGUUUUCAAUAAAAAUAAUUGUAGAAUUCAGGGUUUAUAUUCGAAUGGGAUGGUGGAAAAUGGUAGGGCGGGAGGCCUUUAUUAGCUUCAUAGUGUUCUUCGAGGUCCUUUGGUCAUGUGUUUUGUUUCAAAUCAUACUUGUCAUAGUAGAGUGGGUCCAUGCUUAUUGAUGUCGGAUUGUGAGUUUGAGAAAGGAUGUUAGCCUAAUAAGUUCUAAUAAGUUUACUAGGAUAUUUUCGUUUGGACCCUAUGUUUAGACCUUUAGCUAGGUUUAACAUAAUUAGUUUUCUUAUUAGUCUCUUUUUCCCUUUCAUUGUAUUUGUACUUUCUUUUCAUAAUAAUGAAACUCUAGUUGUAUUUUGUCUCUAUUAUUUAGUAAUUUACACAUAUGUAUAUGAAUAUGCUUUAGUACCUGAAUGCACUGUUGGAGCUAAGAAUGUGUUGUUGGGGCUUGAGAACGUGCUCUUAGGUGCAUGAUGGGUGGCCAUUCACUUCCCUCAAGAUUGAAGGUUUUCUUAAUGCAGCAACAUGGUGUCUUGUGAUCGACGGAUUCCAUUCGGGGUUUAAGUAUGGAUGGGUUUGACACAUCAUAAUUAGGGGUUUCCAUGUUUUUCUAUAAUUAUGCACACAUCCCGGUCAUUAUUUAGGGCUAGUUUUACGUGAGCACAUUUAAGAGCGAUUAUUUUGUUUUGAGAGCGCAACUGCGGCGCAACCUUUGUGAGUGAUUGUAAUUAUUCUUGGAUGUUAAUGAAACUCUCUCUCUCUCUCUCUAUCCCUCCCUCUCUAUGUGUGUUCAUGUUUUUCAUAUUUUUAGAAGUUUUAUUCCGUGUGUUUUACCAAAUACGCUUAUCUAUUGUCUAAAGUUGCUUAACGUGUUUUGCGGAAUUCCCAACAUUCCUUGCCCCUAUCUCAGCCUAAUUUUCGAAAACCACCCCACCCCACAUCCCUCUCUAGCCCAUUUCUUCUUGAAUAAUGUCACACCUGUAACCACAUCCGUUCAAGGAUUUUAGAUUAGCUUUUUGGUGGUCACGGUGAAUGUUAGCGAUAGGUGGUUGUGGUGGUGAUAGAAGGCGGUGCUUGUUGUCGGAGAUGGAUGGUGUUGUGGGUGUGGAUGGUGUUGCCUAGAAAGAUGACGGGAACAUAAUUUAAUGGUAAAUCGUGUAUAAAAAAAAAAGUUUAAUUGUAAAAUUUUGUAUGAAAAAAACAAUUAACGUGCAAUACCCGAUCAAAAUUAUAGGCAUUUGAACAACUUGGAUGAGUUUAAUGAUAAACUGUAUAUAAAAAUAAAAAAAUAAUUAAACAUAUACAAAGUUCAUUACCCUUUAAAAUCAUUUUCCUUUUAAAUUGUAAUUUGAAGUGAAUAUAAAUUUGAAACCGGUCUGCCAAAAGAGCAAAUAAAUAAUUCACUCGUAUCAACAACAGUCAAUUGGUUCUUUCAAGAUUUCAAAUGGUUUUAUCAUCCCUCAAAAAGAGUUUUGUUACCUACAUCUUAAUAUCCCGAAUUUGCUUUUAGAGUUGGAAUUUAAGAUUUAAUUUUGAUUUUGCUUCAACUAAGCUUGUUUUUGGUUUGGUUAAAUGUUCUUUGCUUUUAGGAUUUACUGACAAACUUGUCAUUGUGACAAUUUAACAGUUAAAUCGUUAAAGUUGACCAGCCAUCGACAUAACGAGAGUGAAUCAAAAUCCAUGCUUGUUUCUUUCUUAGAAGGUGACAGUUUGUCCCCACUUCCCACAAUCCAUUGACCAAUUAAACACACUAUAUGACCAAAAUAUAGUCAACAAUCAACCAACACUCAUUCCAGCCAUGAAUCCUUCACUCUUUCCUUCAAAAAUCCUUUCCAUUCCCUUCAUCACCAUCACCAUCUUCAUACUUAUUACAACAGUCUUUUCCUCAACUAAAACAAUCUCCUAUUCCGAUCACUGCAAUUCCUUCGUCCCCGAAGCCAUUCCGACCACCAUCACAUACACCCGAUU